AUGCUCUCUCUAGACUUUUUGGACAAUGUGCGGUGAAUGAACAGGAGGCAGUGGCAGCAUGGAGCCUUAGGGGAAAUUGUUGUUUUUAGGAUAGAAGGAAGAGAGAUUCCUAUAGUUCAUCGAGUCUUGAAGAUUCAUGAAAAGCAAAAUGGGCAUAUCAACUUUUGACCAAAGGAGAUAAUAAUGCUGUUGGUGAUCGAGGCCUCUAUAAACAAGGACAGCAUUGGCUAGAGAAAAAAGAUGUCGUGGGGAGAUCCAGGGGAUUUGUUCCUUAUAUUGGAAUUGUGACAAUCCUCAUGAAUGACUACCCUAAAUUUAAGUAUGCAGUCCUUUUCUUACUGGGUGUGUUCGUGCUGCUCCAUCGUGAGUAAGAAGGCUGCCUUGCUGUUCCUGGGAAGAUGCUGUGCUUUUUGUUGCUCAGUGUUCAGAGUGAAUACUGGGUCUGUGAUUGAUGGAGUGAAGGAUACACAUGUUGGCACUUCUUGGUGGCACUGGUUGGCAUUAGUUUAUGUUUCCACGCCAGAAUCUGUGGGUGGGCGCAUGUGCACCACGGAGUGCACUGGAGGGGACUUUCAACCACAGGAUUUCAUAUGUUGUCAUUGUCAAACUUUCACAUUUUUGUACAUCAAUGACUUUUUUAUAUUAAAAGGUUGAG